rnacentral:rRNA from 1 species
GACGAACGCUGGCGACGUGCUUAACACAUGCAAGUCGAACGGUAAGGCCCUUCGGGGUACACGAGUGGCGAACGGGUGAGUAACACGUGGGUGAUCUGCCCUGCACUUCGGGACAAGCCUGGGAAACUGGGUCUAAUACCGGAUAGGACCACUGCCUGCAUGGGUGGUGGUGGAAAGCUUUUGCGGUGUGGGAUGGGCCCGCGGCCUAUCAGCUUGUUGGUGGGGUGAUGGCCUACCAAGGCGACGACGGGUAGCCGGCCUGAGAGGGUGACCGGCCACACUGGGACUGAGAUACGGCCCAGACUCCUACGGGAGGCAGCAGUGGGGAAUAUUGCACAAUGGGCGCAAGCCUGAUGCAGCGACGCCGCGUGAGGGAUGACGGCCUUCGGGUUGUAAACCUCUUUCAGCACCGACGAAGCGCAAGUGACGGUAGGUGCAGAAGAAGGACCGGCCAACUACGUGCCAGCCGCCGCGGUAA